GUCUCUGGCCACGGCAAUCUGAACGUGCCGGAUCUCGUUUAUCUCGGAAGCUAAGCAGGGUCGGGCUUGGUCAGUACUUGGAUGGGAGGCCAGUUAGGAAGACCAGAUGCUGUUUGCA
rnacentral:rRNA from 1 species